rnacentral:sRNA from 1 species
UCUUGUGUGAGGAGAUAAAGUUACAACGAAAAAGCGCUUGGGGUCGAAACACGGCAAGACUCCCAGGCGCUUUUUCAU